GUGCCAGCCGCCGCGGUAAUACGUAGGUGGCAAGCGUUAUCCGGAAUUAUUGGGCGUAAAGCGCGCGUAGGCGGUUUUUUAAGUCUGAUGUGAAAGCCCACGGCUCAACCGUGGAGGGUCAUUGGAAACUGGAAAACUUGAGUGCAGAAGAGGAAAGUGGAAUUCCAUGUGUAGCAGUGAAAUGCGCAGAGAUAUGGAGGAACACCAGUGGCGAAGGCGACUUUCUGGUCUGUAACUGACGCUGAUGUGCGAAAGCGUGGGGAUCAAACAGGAUUAGAUA
rnacentral:rRNA from 1 species